GAUGAACGCUAGCUACAGGCUUAACACAUGCAAGUCGAGGGGAAACGAUAGAGAAAGCUUGCUUUUUCUAGGCGUCGACCGGCGCACGGGUGAGUAACACGUAUCCAACCUGCCGAUGACUCGGGGAUAGCCUUUCGAAAGAAAGAUUAAUACCCGAUGGCAUAGUUCUUCCGCAUGGUAGAACUAUUAAAGAAUUUCGGUCAUCGAUGGGGAUGCGUUCCAUUAGGUUGUUGGCGGGGUAACGGCCCACCAAGCCUUCGAUGGAUAGGGGUUCUGAGAGGAAGGUCCCCCCACAUUGGAACUGGGACACGGUCCAAACUCCUACGGGAGGCAGCAGUGAGGAAUAUUGGUCAAUGGGACGAGAGUCUGAACCAGCCAAGUAGCGUGAAGGAUGACUGCCCUAUGGGUUGUAAACUUCUUUUAUACGGGAAUAAAGUGAGGCACGUGUGCCUUUUUGUAUGUACCGUAUGAAUAAGGAUCGGNUAACUCCGUG
rnacentral:rRNA from 1 species